UUGACGGAGAGUUUGAUCCUGGCUCAGGACGAACGCUGGCGGCGUGCUUUACACAUGCAAGUCGAACGAUGAUGACCAGCUUGCUGGUUUGAUUAGUGGCGAACGGGUGAGUAACACGUGAGUAACCUGCCCCAGACUCUGGGAUAACUCCGGGAAACCGGGGCUAAUACUGGAUAUCCAUCUCCUGCUGCAUGGUGGGGGUUGUAAAGGGUUUCUGGUCUGGGAUGGGCUCGCGGCCUAUCAGCUUGUUGGUGGGGUGAUGGCCUACCAAGGCUUUGACGGGUAGCCGGCCUGAGAGG
rnacentral:rRNA from 1 species